UACGGAGGAUCCAAGCGUUAUCCGGAUUUAUUGGGUUUAAAGGGUGCGCAGGCGGAAGAUUAAGUCGGCGGUGAAAUUUUGCAGCUCAACUGUAAAAGUGCCAUCGAUACUGGUUUUCUUUAGUGUGGAUGAAGUAGGCGGAAUUUGUGGUGUAGCGGUGAAAUGCAUAGAUAUCACGAGGAACUCCGAUUGCGCAGGCAGCUUACUAGGCCAUAACUGACGCUCAGGCACGAAGGCGUGGGGAGUCAAACAGGAUUAGAUA
rnacentral:rRNA from 1 species